rnacentral:rRNA from 1 species
UACGAAGGGGGCUAGCGUUGCUCGGAAUCACUGGGCGUAAAGCGCACGUAGGCGGAUUGUUAAGUCAGGGGUGAAAGCCUGGAGCUCAACUCCAGAACUGCCCUUGAUACUGGCAAUCUCGAGUCCGGAAGAGGUAAGUGGAACUCCGAGUGUAGAGGUGAAAUUCGUAGAUAUUCGGAAGAACACCAGUGGCGAAGGCGGCUUACUGGUCCGGUACUGACGCUGAGAUGCGAAAGCGUGGGGAGCAAACAGG